CCGCCUUGGCGUCGUGGUCGCCGUGAACUCACUGGCGCGCAAAACCGGUGAGUUUAUCCUCUAAACCUCGCUUAGUAAGUUAAUCAUGCUUAAGGGGUGUUUAGAUUAGUCUAAGUAGGUUUAGGUGGUUAGAUUAGAUUAUUUAAAUGUUAAUUAGAUUAGAUGUAUGAUUAGUUUAGUGGAUGUUUAAUUAGGGCUAAUUGUAUGUUUAAAUUAGUGUAAUCUAGUUUAAGCCCUUAUUAAUUAUUUUUAAUUAAUUAAUUAAUUCGAAUUUUAUAAAUAUUAUUUUUAUUAAAUUAUAUUAAUAUAAUAUGGUAUUUAAUUAUUUAAUUUUCGGAAUUAAAUUUAAUUAUUUAAUAAUUUUGAAAAUUUUGCCGGGAUGGCCGGUCGUUAAAAUUUUGCACUGAUCGCAACAGUGCGAUCAGUUUGUGCUAAUUGAAUGUUGAAUUGAGAAAUUGAGUGAAAUUGGAGAAGUUUUGGUAUUUAACUUGAAAAUACCCGGUGUCAGUUAUUGGCACCAUAAUUGGUUGGUAGGGCCAGUUUGAAUCUACCGAUUGAUUGGAUUGAGGAUUGUUUUGGGUUAUUGUUGAAUUGAUAGCUUUGGCGAGCAGUUGUUUAUAUAUGUAUCAACUUGGGUGAGCAAAUAUUAUAUAUAUAUAUAUAUAUAUAUAUAUAUAUAUAUAUAUAUAUAUAUAUAUAUAUAUAUAUACGCUACAGCUUCAGUGAGCUAUCUAUACGCUACAGCUUCAGCGAGCUACCGUCUAUAUAUUACAGCUUUGGAGAGCAUUUGUCGUAUUAACGACUGGUUUGAUAGACGGUAUGGAAAGAUAGAUAAUAUGAUUGAAUUGAAUCAUUGUGAAUGAUCGGAUUUGGUUGAAUUAUGAAAUGUACUGACGUGUAGGAAUGGACUGAGGCGAGGUAAGUCCUCAAUCCUCUUUGUGUGGCUAGAGCACCUUGGGGCUUAUUUUCUUCCUAAUCGAGUUUUAGAGGGUAGGACUCGCUGAGACAUUGUCUCAUCCCGGUUGUGGGAUAAUAUUUCAGGUCCCUAGAUGGCGGAUCCUCCGAAGCUUUUUGGUAGACCAAUGAGGGUCGCUGAGAGGAUUUUUGACUUCGCUGAUCCCGACUGAAGAGCUGGCAAAUGGACCUGUCUAGCUGGUCUUAGGCCAGCUUAGUUUUUGAGGACUGAUCUUCUAUAGAUCUUUUGUAAAUAGCCUAGUCCUGUAAAUGAACUGGUGUGAUAUGUAUAAAAAGUAUGUGGUUGGUUUUGAAAAUGUGAUCCUGC
rnacentral:lncRNA from 1 species